rnacentral:lncRNA from 1 species
AAAAAAAAAACUACAUACUAAUAAUUAGAUCAUAUUUUAAAUUUACAAAAGUUGUCUUCUUUUUCAUUUACGAACUUUUCAAGUAGGCUUUGAAAAUCACAAUUUGCAUAUUAUCUUAAUCUUAAAAGAGACGAGUUAGGUCUCAAAAGGUUAAAAGUACAUUUGAUUUUAUUUUAUUUCUUUGCAAAUUAAAAUAUAUUUUAAUGCAAGUGGGUUAUGCAUGUAUCUUCAUUCUUCCUAUGAUUAACAAGUUUUAAAUGUUUACAUUCAAAUUUGGAUAAGAUACAAGUAAUUCUAAACAUUCAAAUUUGGAUAAGAUACAAGUAAUUCUAAAAGUGAUAAAUUGAUUUAAAAUGUAUUCAUUAAACUAGAUAUGGAAAUUAAUAGGCAAAGCAAUAUCUCCUUUCCUUUGUUUUCUCUUUAUGUUAGAGUGUUAAACUGAGAUAGAAAGAGAA